GUGGCUCAGGUAGUGACCACUUUCCAAGAAAUGGGAGCGAUAGAGGUCAUACCUACGGGGCGUGCUCGUCGAGGGUCAAAUACGCCAUCGGCCUCAUAAAAUAUACAUCACUCCAAAAAUAAUAUUGGUAAUAGAACUGGUAUCUUGUAUUGCCAACCCACGUGGAGAAAACCCAUCAGCCUUUACAGCGAGAUAAUGGAAUCUGACUGUUUCAGACCAGGGCUGUGUAAUAACAGGUAAAUAUUCUUUCAUGAGACAGGGAUUUAACGUUUCCCAAACUAAAAAUGUUGGAAAAAUUGACAUAUUAUGCUUCAUGCCCUUUGGUUUCCAACCUCAAAUAUUCCUUUUCUAGUAUUUGUCACUUUCUUUGAUGAUAUACAUCGAUCAAACUUUCACUGUAAAA